rnacentral:misc_RNA from 1 species
AUAAUGUUCAAAUCAGAGAUUAAUUGAUUAAUUCAGAUGGUGCAGUAUUAGUGCUUCAUUUGUACAGGUGCUAAAUGGGUGUCAAAUGAAGAAACUACAAAGCCAAGACUCCAGUCCAUCGAGGAAGGGACAUAGUAUAAUCCUUGCUCUUAUUCAAGAAAUGUUACAAUCGUUGCUUUCUUUCAAGAAAGGUAAAGUGAAG